ACUGACACUGACACUGAGGUGCGAAAGCGUGGGUAGCAAACAGGAUUAGAUACCCUGGUAGUCCACGCCGUAAACGAUGUCGACCAGCCGUUGGGUGCCUAGCGCACUUUGUGGCGAAGUUAACGCGAUAAGUCGACCGCCUGGGGAGUACGGCCGCAAGGUUAAAACUCAAAUGAAUUGACGGGGGCCCGCACAAGCGGUGGAGCAUGUGGCUUAAUUCGAUGCAACGCGAAGAACCUUACCUACCCUUGACAUCCUGCGAAUUUGGUAGAGAUACCUUAGUGCCUUCGGGAACGCAGAGACAGGUGCUGCAUGGCUGUCGUCAGCUCGUGUUGUGAAAUGUUGGGUUAAGUCCCGUAACGAGCGCAACCCUUGUCCUUAUUUGCCAGCGAGUAAUGUCGGGAACUCUAAGGAGACUGCCGGUGACAAACCGGAGGAAGGUGGGGACGACGUCAAGUCAUCAUGGCCCUUACGGGUAGGGCUACACACGUGCUACAAUGGCCGGUACAAAGGGCUGCGAGCUCGCGAGAGUCAGCGAAUCCCUUAAAGCCGGUCUCAGUCCGGAUCGGAGUCUGCAACUCGACUCCGUGAAGUCGGAAUCGCUAGUAAUCGUGAAUCAGAAUGUCACGGUGAAUACGUUCCCGGGCCUUGUACACACCGCCCGUCACACCAUGGGAGUGGACUGCACCAGAAGUGGUUAGCCUAACGCAAGAGGGCGAUCACCACGGUGUGGUUCAUGACUGGGGUGAAGUCGUAACAAGGUAACCA
rnacentral:rRNA from 1 species